AUUGAAACGUGGCUCAUAUGCAUACAUAUAUACACAUAUAACAAUGACACCUCACAUCCUCACUAAUAAAAAUCUCCACCUAUCCCCUUUCAUUAAUUCAUUAUUGCCAUGGACAGGGAGAAGAAAGAAAGGCCGAGAGAGAGGGUGAGCUUCCAUGGAAACCAUGAGAUUUCGAUUCCAAUUUCUUGAGAUCGUGACUGGUUCCAAGGUUCAAUAUGAAGCUGCGGAUGAGUGGUAGAUUUACUUGUGAUUCCUAUUGUUUUCAUAGAAUUCCCUUGCCUUUAUUGAUUAGGAUUUUAUUUUAUACAGAGGGAUAUGAAUUGUAUCUAAGUUACAUUUGAAUUCUUUUGUAUGAUAUUUAUUAUUAUUAAUAACUAUGUGACUAGUAUUAUUUGGA